rnacentral:rRNA from 1 species
GACGAACGCUGGCGGCGUGCUUAACACAUGCAAGUCGAACGGAAAGGCCCUGCUUUUGCUGCUUGCUCGAGUGGCGAACGCGUGAGUAACACGUGUGUAUCCUGCCCUUGACUUUGGGAUAACUUCACGAGACUGGGGCUAUUACAGGAUAUGAGCUCCUGCUGCAUGGUGGGCGUUGGAAAGUUUCGGCGGUUGGGGAUGGACUAGCGGGUUAUCAGCUUCUUGGUGGGGUAGUGGCUGACCAAGGGUUUGACGGGUAGCCGGCCUGAGAGGGGGACCGGCGACAUUGGGACUGCGAUACGGACCAGACUCCUACGGGAGGCAGCAGUGGGGAAUAUGACAGAAUGGGCGGAAGCCUGAGGCAGCAACGCCGCGUGCGGGAUGACGGCCUUCGGGGUGUAAACCGAUGUGGCCGGUGACGAAGCGUGAGUGACGGUAAUGGGUAAGGAAGCACCGGCUAACUACGUG